rnacentral:rRNA from 1 species
UACGUAGGUGGCAAGCGUUGUCCGGAAUUAUUGGGCGUAAAGCGCGCGCAGGCGGUCCUUUAAGUCUGAUGUGAAAGCCCACGGCUCAACCGUGGAGGGUCAUUGGAAACUGGGGGACUUGAGUGCAGAAGAGGAGAGCGGAAUUCCACGUGUAGCGGUGAAAUGCGUAGAGAUGUGGAGGAACACCAGUGGCGAAGGCGGCUCUCUGGUCUGUAACUGACGCUGAGGCGCGAAAGCG